rnacentral:pre_miRNA from 1 species
UGCUUCCCUCUGCGGGGCAAUCGAUCGGGGGGCCCCCAGAUCGAUUGCCCCUCGGAGGGAGGCC